UGCAAGUCGAGGGGUAUAGUAGCAAUACUAGAGACCGGCGCACGGGUGCGUAACGCGUAUGCAAUCUACCUUAUACAGAGGGAUAGCCCAGAGAAAUUUGGAUUAAUACCUCAUAGCAUAGCAACUUCGCAUGAAGUCACUAUUAAAGUUCCAACGGUAUAAGAUGAGCAUGCGUCCUAUUAGCUAGAUGGUAAGGUAACGGCUUACCAUGGCUACGAUAGGUAGGGGUCCUGAGAGGGAGAUCCCCCACACUGGUACUGAGACACGGACCAGACUCCUACGGGAGGCAGCAGUGAGGAAUAUUGGACAAUGGGCGCAAGCCUGAUCCAGCCAUGCCGCGUGCAGGAAGACGCAUCUAUGGUGUGUAAACUGCUUUUGUACGGGAAGAAACACUCCCUCGUGAGGGAGCUUGACGGUACCGUAAGAAUAAGGAUCGGCUAACUCCGUGCCAGCAGCCGCGGUAAUACGGAGGAUCCAAGCGUUAUCCGGAAUCAUUGGGUUUAAAGGGUCCGUAGGCGGUUUGGUAAGUCAGUGGUGAAAGCCCAUCGCUUAACGAUGGAACGGCCAUUGAUACUGCCAGACUUGAAUUACUGGGAAGUAACUAGAAUAUGUAGUGUAGCGGUGAAAUGCUUAGAUAUUACAUGGAAUACCAAUUGCGAAGGCAGGUUACUACCGGUGGAUUGACGCUGAUGGACGAAAG
rnacentral:rRNA from 1 species